UUGAGGUUUGGUUCUUAAAGCUCUUACAUGAUACUUACUAGUUCCCUUUUUCUGAGGAGGAGUCUUAGACCAGCAACGUCUCUGGAAAAUACAAAGAUCAUCGUCCCAGUUCUGCAGGUGAAACAGAGAGAGAUCCGUGGCUUCAGCCCCAGCGCCAGAGAAUAAUCCGGGGAGUGGAAGGAAUCAAGAUAAACCAAAUUGGCCAGGAGUUUGAAAAUCCAUAAAGCUGGGCAAUGGAUAGUCACACACUCCGUGGCCUGAGUCACAGCUCUGUAAGUUGUAGGGGCCAGAAAGACCCCCUGGGCUCCUGACUGUGGACACACGAAUGAGCUUGGCAACCUUCCCCUGUUCAAGCAAGGCUGGUGCGUUCUGUCCCUUUGAAAAUGCAUUUCAAGAUCUCUGAUGUGCACAGGUCUGUUUUAUGGAUUCUCCUUUGAACCAACUGUGACGUCUCUCCAGUUCUGUCGAUGAUGGAGAAGCGUGUGCUCCAGAGUCUUGACAGCCUCCCGGCUUCCUGGCGGUGGCCCCCAGGACUACAAACCCCACCUUCCUGCCGUUGCAGAGCCAGCUGAGGGGUGGGCAGCACGCCAGGCCCCCACAGCAGCCCCUGGAGCACACGCCAGUUGCAGACUCUCGAGACGCUGGAGAGAGGGACGGGGUUCUCACCAGAUCCCCACAGCCAUCGCAAGCCCGCGCCUUUGUCCUGCUCCCGGCUUCCCCGGCUACCUGGUCCCCUGGCACAGGGGAGAAGUACACACCUUGAGACCUCCCGCCCUCUGGCUUCCAUGGGCCCACAACGUCCUUCAAAGAAUGCGUAUUUUCCUUUUAAUGAAGUCCACACUCAUUAUUAAACCAACCUAUUAAACCAACCGUACCUCAGAUCACAUCCCCAACCCCUCAACACGAAAGCAGUUCCAACAGAUGUCUCUCACAGCCCCUCCCCACCUUUCUCGAAUGUAAAUAAGCUUUUCAAGCUGCCAUCAAUAUGUACACACAGUUCUGCUUUCGACUCUUCCCACCGGCUUUGUAUACACUUUCCCAUGGAUCUGGGUCAUCCUGGUGCCGAGUAUCUCACAGGACAGCAAAAAAUAUGGAAGACGUAUUUUGUUUUAGAAUCUUAAUACCCAGAACAUCUGGGUGAUACUCAGACAACUGGUGAGACUCUUGCUGAUGCUGCAAGUCUCCAAGUCCAAGUUCCCCCGCAGACAGAAAACGCUGGAUUUUGCAUCUGCUCGUAAGAACAUGGGUUUUCUCAAGCGCAGUGGACUGUGGGGUGUGACAGUUAGUGAUUUCUUCCCUGGAAGUGGCAUGACCUGCUGGCGUUCCCGUUGGCUGGAGUUGCGAGUACAGCCCAAAUUUAUUGGUUUUGAUUCCUGUACCGUUCCCUGCGUAAAUUAAAAUGUGACAU